UUUCUCAUCAUUGCCUUCUUUGCCUGAAAUUGAGAGAAGGCAUGGUGGCACUGUUACUCUGAGAAAAGGAGAGAAUCAGAGAUGAAAUUCGUGGAAGAGAAGCAUACUGGUUGAAGAGAAGAUGAAGAUGGUGAUGAACUUGUUGUUGUAGGAGAUUUGAUUUGUCUGAAUCAAGGUCUUGUUCUUGAGUUAAAUUGUCCGAGAAUACAGACCCAGGGAAGAAAUUGGGGAUAUCUUGCUGCAGAUCGAGAAUUAAAAGCCGUGAAGGAGAUGGGUUUUUGUAGUUACAAUUGAUAAUGGGUUUGUAUGAUUCUGUCAACAGAGAAGAUGGUGAAACUAGAGUUCGAUUCAAGAUGGGUUUGAGCUGUGGAUUCAUGAACCAGAAUUAGUCUUGUUUGGAGUAAUUUUAGAAGAAAUAAAAAGGGUUUUUAGCUGAGCAUUUAAUGGAGAAAUUAAUGGAUGGGGUUUGAAUCUGGUGAUGCAGCUUGUAUUGUUUGUAGUUGGGGGAGUUUAAUUGAUCUGAGAAGAGAUUUGUUGCUGGUGUUAAUAGUGGUGCUGGAUGCAGUGAAAGAAAGAUGGUUCUUUUGUUGAUUGUGAUGAAUAAUGGAAAUGGGUUCAGUUGGAAGAUAAAACAUGGUUGCAACUACAAAUGGUGCUAGUGAAACUAAGCAACUAAGACUGGUGAACUUUUGGUGACAGUCAGGCAAGACUGAAUGAGUUACAGGCAAGGCUGAAUUGGUUAGGAGUUUGUUGAAUUGAUAAAAACUGCAGGUUGAUGUUGGAUGGAUUGUGUUUUGAGUUAUGUAUGGAAUUGCAAGGGUAAACUGGCUGGAGUAUUAGGCUUGAGAUGGUAUUGUUGGUGAUAUCUAAGGCACAGGUUGUGAUUUUGUUGGUGCUUCAAAUGGAAAAUGGAAUUGGCAGAGCUGUAAUACAGGAGAUGGUAUUGCAGUUGGAUACAAGAGCUGUAGAGAGUAUGUUGGUGGUUCAAAUGAAGAGAAGGAGCUACAGCUGAUAUUAAUGGGAA